GAGAAUAUUUUAACUGUACAUUUACACCCAGCGUCUGGCUUCAAAGACGUGACUGCUUUUAAUCUCGAAUUAGACAAACCACAGAGCCUGGGAUGAAAUCCGGGGCCUUGGCCUUCCUGGAGGAGAGUCACGGAAGGGCUUCCCUGUCGAGGGCCAGGAAGGCACACAAACACACAGAGAGAGGCGCGCCUCCAAUGGCGUUGGCUUUCGAAGAGGGGAUUUGUGGUGCUUUUGGGGUUGUUUCUCCUCCUCUUUUCUAAAUGGGGUUAAUGCAAUAUUAAUCUGUUGUGGCUGUUUGUCAGAGUGCGGAGGGGUUUUUCUUCUUCUCCAGGAACCAAUCGAUGGGAUGAGGCUGAGGGAUGAUGGAAGGAGGAAGGAAAGGCGGAAGAGAAACACAGACGCGCACAACUUCUCCUUCGCUGGUUUGAGCUUUUUCUCCUCCAAAAGGCUCUCAAGACUUCGAUUCCUCCUGAGUGCCAGUCCUGAGAAUAUUCCCUCUUCCAAGUCUUUGGUUGGUUAUAAGGAUGGACAAGCAAGGAGGCGAGGGAGGCCUCAUCCACACUGAGUGACCAUUGAAUGCACACAGUAUUGAAGAAAGUCACUUCUCUAUGCAGAUGACUACAGAGGAAACCCUGGAAGCAGUUUGAGACCCGGAUGGGUCGGUUGGAGUCAAGUUUUGGGACUUCCAGACCAUCCUCUUCGUGGGAAGCCAGGCAUUUUGUUCACAGGAAUUUAAAUUAAUCCAAGGGUGGCAUAGACUGCACCUGUUUGAUGUGCUUCCCUUGGAUGCUGUGACCCGCUUUGAGUGCUGCCAGACCAAUAGUUGAAAGGAAGAGAGCUUGGAGAACAGUAGGCUGGCCCUCAUUCAUUCAGAGGGAGAUUGCUCCAGAGCAACGUAUUUCACUGAAGGAAAAAGAAUAUCACAUGCGACCAGCCAUGGCUUUUAUAUCUGGGUGUUCAAUGGUGAUACAACCGGGUUUAAGGUGCAGUGAACCAUUCCAAGUGCCAUUUUAUACUACAGCCCAAAUGGGAGUAAUUGCUACUUGCUCUUCAGAUUUUUUUUUUCAGUGUCAGGAGUGACUUGAGAAACUGCAAGUCACUGCCAUUCUGUGGUAGGCUUUUCUCAUGUCCCUGCAUGAGAAGCUGGAGCUAACAGAUAGGAGCUCACCCCGCUCCCUGGAUUCGAACCACCGACCUUUUGAUCAGCAGUCCUGCUGGCACAAGGGUUUAACCCGUUGCGCCACCGAGUGCUCCACUUUUCAGAUGGCAUAUGUAUAGAUUAGGCAACUGAUCUCUGAGUAGUGACAAUACAUAACCAUUACUUGCUCAGAAUGUGAAGGAACCAAUAGGCUAAGCUGUCCCUCAUAAUUAAUAUAAUUCACAUGAUGCCAGAAUUUUGUAUAAUGCCAGGGAAUAUUCCAAAUGGAGAGCUUGUGGUGCAUCAAGGCAAACUUAGAGGAAGUUGCAGAUAUUUAAUUUUUGUAACUGUGGGUUUCUUCUCCCAUGAAGGCAGGAAGCGAAAGGAUUGUACCAGUUUUCAGAUUCUGUGGCAUUUUCAUUUGUCAUUGUGCAGACAACCAAUAGCACAAUGUAAAUCAUUUGGGGCUGUUGAUCAUCUGUAUUCAGCUGACGCUGCACCAAUUAUCAGUAAAGGGUGACUAGAUGCUUGGUGAUGCAAGAAGGACAAAGUGGUAUCAAAUUCUUACUUUAUAUAACCAAGUAAUGUAACCAAUAAAUGUACAUUGGUCAUCUA